CUCUCGUCUUCUAACCAAACUGAAACGAACAGCUUCUCCUCAAACUACCAAAGCAAAAAAAAACCGUCUCCUCUAUCAUUCUCUUUGGGUCGACGGCUUCUGAAGCAGGUCUCCGAGCAUGGUAUAUUGCGGUAAUUGUGCAGAGAACAUAAGUCGACCCGACUAUGUGGAUGGCAAAAUAUGUUGUCCCUUAUGUGGAAGAGUUCUUGAUGAAGAUAAUUUUUCAUGUGAGCCCACGUUUGUUAAGAAUGCUGCCGGACUGGUUAGUUCUUU